AGAGGCUGAAGAAGUCUAUGGGAGUAGAAGCUAGCACCAGAUCCCUGCUCCCCGCAGGACCCUGACGGUUGGGCCGGUGACCUCCAGAAUACAGAUGGAGAGUCUCCAGGGACAGAGGCUUUAGUGGACGAAAUUCGCACUAACCAGCUAACCCUUCCUAAUAAGAAGGGCGAAGACUCAGUGGACGAAGCUAACCUCUUCAUACUCACCCUCCAUCCCCUCACCCCUUUCCCUUCCAGAUCACCAUGUCUACAGGCAAGGCACCCCUCGGGGGUUAGCUGCGGAGGAUGAGGUCUGGGCGGGAUCAGUAGAGGUGGUGGGAUCAGAGCUCCUCACCUUCUCAGCUGCAGCCAAGGUCCGAGUGGGACUGACCAUUGUACUGUUUCUUUGGCUGUAGGGAACCUGACCAUGCUGUGGUCAGUGACUCGGCCACGACCCAGCCAACUCCAUCCUUCCCCUGUGCAACUCUUUGCCCAAUUAGCAGCUGCUGACUUGUCACCUUUGUGGCCCCUAGAUGCCACUUGGAAUAUCACUGUUCAAUGGCUGGCAGGGGACAUUGCGUGUUGGACACUCAUGUUCCUGAAACUAAUGGCCAUGUAUGCUGCAGCCUUCCUGCCUGUGGUCAUUGGACUCCACCGCCAGGAAGCAGUACUCCACUCACAUGGACCCCGCUCAGCUGGAAGGAAACUUCUGGAGACAGCCUGAGGACUUAGCUUCCUGCUUGCCUUGCCCCAGCUGUUCCUGUUCCACACUGUCCGCGAAGCUGGCCCAGUCUCCUUCACCCAGUGUGUAACCAAAGGCAGUUUCAAGGCUCGAUGGCAAGAGACCACCGAUAACCUCUUCACCUUAUGUUGCCUCUUUCUGCUGCCAUGGACUGCCAUGACCGUCUGCUAUACCUGCACCGUCCUCAGUGGGUCCAGUUCCCCGACGAGGAAGGGGGACCACGGUGAGACUCCAAUCCCCGGGCCCUAAUCCAUACCUUAAAACUAUGGCCUCUAGCCUCACUUACUGAUCUGAUAGCUGUGACCACCAAAAGUAACUUCAUAACCAUAUCUCUAGCACCUGAUGCUGCAAGUAUUUGCCAAAUGCCCUCAACUCUAACAACCUUCUAGCUAUCCUCUGGGGUUGAGUUAGCUGGCUACAGAGUAAGGAGAAAGAUGAUCAGUAUUCUCCUUUAGUCUUGGAUACCAUCAAGUCUUCAAGAAGACUUAGUAGCUUCAUGUAACACAGCACCUCAAUCAAAACCUUUUCUCCAGCAUGUCUGUCAUAAUCCUUGGGGUGGGGGGACAGGAGGGAAGCAUAUAGUCCCAGUUUGGGAAGGGAAGAGGGUUUACAGCAUUACCUAUUUGCCAUAUUUUCUUCCUUGUAUUGGGAGAGCUCCAGCUCAUGAUCUCUGCCACUCAUCCAUUCACCCUACACUCAACUCAGAAGCUGAGGGGUUCUGAAAUUGCAUAUAUUUUCUAAAUUCCCAACCCCUGCCGGUGAAUUUGCCCUCCGCUGCUCCUUAGACAAUUGUUCCCAUGUUCGUCUGCGGGCCCUGGGACUGGCCCUAGUUGUCUUGCUGACGUUUGUCUUCUGUUGGGACACCUUAUUACCUGCUAGAACUGUGGUACUGGUUCUCCCCCAUCAUGCUAACUGAAGUCCCUCCCAGCCUCAGCCACAUCCUUUUCCUUUUUGGCCUCUUCAGUGUUCCUCCGGAUCCUCUCCUCUAUGGAGCCUUUACCCUUGGCUGCUGAAGGCACCAAGAACACAGUAGAGACUCCUCCAGGGAAAAAGGCUCUGAGAGAAUGCCCCAACAGGAGAU